rnacentral:rRNA from 1 species
GAUGAACGCUGGCGGCGUGCCUAAUACAUGCAAGUCGAGCGAACAGACGAGGAGCUUGCUCCUCUGACGUUAGCGGCGGACGGGUGAGUAACACGUGGAUAACCUACCUAUAAGACUGGGAUAACUUCGGGAAACCGGAGCUAAUACCGGAUAAUAUAUUGAACCGCAUGGUUCAAUAGUGAAAGACGGUUUUGCUGUCACUUAUAGAUGGAUCCGCGCCGCAUUAGCUAGUUGGUAAGGUAACGGCUUACCAAGGCAACGAUGCGUAGCCGACCUGAGAGGGUGAUCGGCCACACGGGAACUGAGACACGGUCCAGACUCCUACGGGAGGCAGCAGUAGGGAAUCUUCCGCAAUGGGCGAAAGCCUGACGGAGCAACGCCGCGUGAGUGAUGAAGGUCUUCGGAUCGUAAAACUCUGUUAUUAGGGAAGAACAAAUGUGUAAGUAACUAUGCACGUCUUGACGGUACCUAAUCAGAAAGCCACGGCUAACCACGUG